rnacentral:rRNA from 1 species
GUUAGCCGCUAGCUCUCUGCAACUCUAACACUGUUGCCCACUGAAGCUAAGCAGGGCUGCGCCCGAUUGGUACCUGGAUGGGAGCCCAUAUGGGAAAGCAUGGUAGCUGCUAGAU